UAGGGAAUCUUCCACAAUGGGCGAAAGCCUGAUGGAGCAACGCCGCGUGGGUGAAGAAGGUCUUCGGAUCGUAAAACCCUGUUGUUAGAGAAGAAAGUGCGUGAGAGUAACUGUUCACGUUUCGACGGUAUCUAACCAGAAAGCCACGGCUAACUACGUGCCAGCAGCCGCGGUAAUACGUAGGUGGCAAGCGUUAUCCGGAUUUAUUGGGCAUAAAGGGAACGCAGGCGGUCUUUUAAGUCUGAUGUGAAAGCCUUCGGCUUAACCGGAGUAGUGCAUUGGAAACUGGGAGACUUGAGUGCAGAAGAGGAGAGUGGAACUCCAUGUGUAGCGGUGAAAUGCGUAGAUAUAUGGAAGAACACCAGUGGCGAAAGCGGCUCUCUGGUCUGUAACUGACGCUGAGGUUCGAAAGCGUGGGUAGCAAACAG
rnacentral:rRNA from 1 species